UACGUAGGUGGCAAGCGUUGUCCGGAUUUAUUGGGCGUAAAGGGAGCGCAGGUGGUUUCUUAAGUCUGAUGUGAAAGCCCACGGCUUAACCGUGGAGGGUCAUUGGAAACUGGGGAACUUGAGUGCAGAAGAGGAAAGUGGAAUUCCAAGUGUAGCGGUGGAAUGCGUAGAUAUUUGGAGGAACACCAGUGGCGAAGGCGACUUUCUGGUCUGUAACUGACACUGAGGCUCGAAAGCGUGGGGAGCGAACAGGAUUAGAUACCCCGGUAGUCCCUGAG
rnacentral:rRNA from 1 species